rnacentral:lncRNA from 1 species
UUCCCUAAUCAUUUCAUUUUUUGGUUUUAAAUCUAACAAUUCAUGUGUCCAUAAUAAGUACCUUGAUAGUAAUCAUAUGAUGCAUUUUACAAAGGUAAACUCUAAUUUGGAUUUGUUAAUAAUGCUAAGUUGUAUCACUAUAUCUAAAUCAUCAUGAUUAUCCAUUUUCUUUGUUAUAAAGGUUAUUAAAGAUUAUAUGCUAAGGAUUUCGAACAACUUCAAUUGUACCAUGGUCUUUUGGAUCAUCACAAUUUGAUUGAAUUGUAAGUAGAAAUUAUCUCAUAGUCUUUUGUGAUGAAGCAUUGUGAAUGAUGUCUUAUUUAGAAAUGUCACAAAGAAAGAAUGGCUAUUAGAAAUUACAUUUAUUGAUUUGGUUAUUUCAGGGCCAUUUAAAGGAGAAAAAUGGAGCAUGCUUGGUGUGAAUAUAAUUGGGUGGUGGUGCAUAUCAAUCCAAUACAACAUGUCAUAUUAGUUUUUUCAGCUUUGUAUAAUACAUAAUGAUAACACCCAACACUUGAAAUAAUGAGCAAAAUUAUAAAUCUUAAUAUAAGGUUUAUAAUGUUGGAAAAAUUGUCAACUACAUUGAUAUUUGUCCAUUAUAUGGUGGUUCACUUUUAUAUUUACUAUGAUUUGGUUUUUAAGUUUGUUUCCCAUGAGAAAAUUAAAUUGAGUGUGCUCUUAUACAAAAAUUAAAUUUUAUACAUGUCACGGGUUUUGAAGACUCCACUAUAAAAUUGAGUGUGAUGCUUCACUUGAUUAGGUUUAUUAUGGUGGUUAUUUUAUGUUGUGGGCUAUUCUCUGUUUCGAGUUCAAACUAUUCUUUUUACGAUGAAAUGUGUUUGUUUUUAGUUCUAUGUUGUUUAUGUUUGUAUCCAACUUGAUUUCUAUUGUCUUUUGAAUACUUUAUCCUAAUUUCGUUGUGCUUAUGCUUAACCCGCUUGAUUAACAACAUCCAUGAUUGACAUAUAUAUGGCGAUGCUUAACCCAUUUGAUU